ensembl:lncRNA LINC02543 long intergenic non-protein coding RNA 2543
CCUAUCCUAUCUGCAGCCUCUAGUCCAAGGCUCCCAAGGGCCCCACGAUAUCUGAUGCAUCUUAGCACAGAGCAAGCUAAUGCCGACUCAUGCCACAUCCCCGUUACACACAAGAGGUCAGAGAGGAAGCAGGGCAGAGCAGUUUUCCUCUGAGCCAGACCUCAGAGGUGGCCGUGGUAUUUUUGUUUUCCCUUCCACCAAACAAAAGGAUCUGUGUAAAGCAAGGCAUCAUCUUACUGCAAGGGGAGACAUCGCUGGGGUCUGGUUAGAAGAUCUGGCUCUAUUUUCUCCAAUGAAGGUCUUUAUAGGAAAUCUGCAUUAGUGCCUUGUCCAUGUUCAUAGACCCUCUGCUUCAUGGCAGAAGGGCGCUGACUUGAAGGCCCCUAAGCAGCGAAGGAAGGGGAGCCUCUGUCCCCUCCCUAGCUGGCUUCCCUGGCACAUGCUGGUUUCCCUCCAAUUCUGUGGUGCACAUCAUGACCAGCAGAGGAAAGAAUUCAGCUGGACCACCUCAAGCUCUGUGUGACGGAGUUGAAAGCUUUGCUGAUGUAUAUGUUGGUGGUCAAGGAAGGCUUUCUGAACACUUACCUGGUGCCCACAGAGGCUCUGAGAGCUGGAAGCUGGAAAGAGUCAGUCUGGGGUCCUAAAAGGUAUCUUCUCUUCAGUGCCAACAUCAGGGGCAUAUUGGUGAUAGAAACAGGGUCUCUGCAUGGCUACAGGCACCAUUAAUUGGUUCAGUUUUCUUCCAUUUCUCCUGAGCUCACCCUGACCCUAUGCACUGCUGACCAGGAAUUCUAACCCGCAGCAUCGUGGGUGGGCCCACCUUGCAGCCUCAUCACGGUUGAGUU